rnacentral:lncRNA from 1 species
UUUAUUGUAAUUUUUUUGACUUUUUUGGUAAUCUCCUCUUACAGGAUUUGUUUCUUCAUGUAAUAUCACCCAUUUACGGGUGAAAUUCUCAAUAAAUAAAGUUUUCUUUUUCGAGCCUUAUUAUUUGUUUUUCAGUUUUUCUGCUUGAUUACAAAUUGUUAAUUUAUUUUGGAUAAUGAAUUGAAACAUCGGUCAUAAUAAAAAGCUUUUGAAAACGUAUUUUACUUUGAAAUAUCAAAGGGACCG